GACGAACCGUCCAAACGUUUAUUCGGAAUCACUGGGCUUACAGAGUUCGUAGGCGGUCUGGAAAGUUGGGUGUGAAAUCCCUCGGCUCAACCGAGGAACUGCGCUCAAAACUACCCGACUCGAGGGAGAUAGAGGAAAGCGGAACUGAUGGUGGAGCGGUGAAAUGCGUUGAUAUCAUCAGGAACACCGGGUGGCGAAGGCGGCUUUCUGGGUCUUAACCUGACGCUGGAGGAACGAAAGCUAGGGGAGCGAACGGG
rnacentral:rRNA from 1 species